GGUGCAGCAGCUGGUGUUGUGAAUCAGGCCGUGACCAGUCAACAAGCGGCUACUUCACAACACCAGGGUUGCACCA